ACAGUCAGGUCGCGGGGCGCUCAGCACUGAGGAGAGGAAGACGCACGAACUCCAGCGACACCCACCGUCAGCCGAGUAACAGCAUCCCCCGCGGGGCAGAGGUGGGGCCCUUCCUCGGGGACUGGCUGCCGGGGAUCCGCCCCGCUGCAGCUCGGUGUCAUGGUUUGACCUGACAGCCUUUUCUGGUAAGGGGGAAGGGGCUGUAAAGAUGGCUCCUGUAAGAAGUUGCUUGAAAUUCUCCCAAGCUCUGAGCCAGACCCAUUUCUGGGGCUGAGCCAAUUAGACGCCUCCACGAUCACUUUUUAAGAAGAAGGCGGAAGAGGAAGCUUCUUCCUGUUUCUUCUGUGCUUUCUUCUUUACCGGAUGGUGGUGGUGCAAGGAAUGGAAAGAUGGAGAGAAACAACCAUGCGCUCUCAAGAAACUGCAACCAUGCCGAAGAAUCCAUGGCAGAGAUAUUCACUAAGGGCUGUGUCCCGUGUGAGGGACCCUGUAUCAGCAGAAGCUAUAGCUGCUGGGAACAACCCACACCAGAGAAGUUCGUUAAGGACUGUGUCCUGUGGGAGGGACUCCGUGUUGGAGCAGAGGAAGAAUGCAAGGAGUCAUCCUCAUCUGAGAACAGAGAAGCUGCAGAGCCCAUCUGUGAGAGAUUGACUACAUCCCCCAUUCCCUGCCCCCCUGAGCCAUUGAGGGGGCAGGAGGUAGAGAUAUCUGGAGCAGUGAGCUGAGCCUGGGAACAAAGGAGGGAUGGGGGAGGGAGAUCUUAAAGUUCUGGCUGUAAUUUUUCUCAUCAUCCUACUCCUUUUGCUUUUGUUCCAUUCUGUUUCUUGUAGAAUAAACUUUCCCACUUUCCGAA